UAUUAAGCGAUGAAUAGGAUGAGUAAAUUUAUUAUAGAUAUUUUAGAGAGAAAGUGGUUGGUGAAAACUUUUUGCUAUAUAUUUUGAAGCUGCCUAGGAGCUAUAAAUUACUAAGUGAUGUAUGAAAUUCAUACAUAAUUAGGGUGGUACCGCGGAAUUUUAGCUUUCGUCCCUUUG
rnacentral:ncRNA from 1 species